GGGGGUUGGAAUUUGAUGAUCCUUGGGGUCCCUUCCAACCAUUCUGUGACUCUACUUUGCUAUCCUGAACUUCAGCAUAAGAAAAGGAUCAAGCCAAAGCAAGUGGGUUUUAAUUUUCACCAGUGGAAUGUAGAGUGUCAUCUAAGUGGGAGAGCUGGGUGAGAUUGUGAGGGUGUCCCUGUUGCCUUUCAGUAGUUUCACAGUGUUAUUCUCCAUCCCCUGCCAUCCCAAAAUACUAGACAUGCCUUUUCUACAUUGCUUAGUGCCAUUAAAAGAGAUAGAAAAGACUGAAGUUUUAGAUGUAAUUAUUUUUGUGAAAUCUGACUGCUACAACUGAGUGUUUUCUGCAGGGUGCUUAAUGGCUGAAUUCAAGUGAUGGAACAUUCAGUUAAGUUUCAUGAAACAGAAAGUGAAUUUGUGCUGUGCAGCAGCCAUAAAUCAGGUGUCUACUUGCAAGUUAGCGAGGAAUCACUGUGCUUUAUUGUGCUCAGCAGCUGCCUACGGAAACUAGCAAACUGGUUAGUGCUUGAGGACAUCUAUCAGAAAUACAGGAUGAGCUCCUCAGCAUUGUAAAGACAUUUGUAUCACAGACUCCCGAUUGUUCCAAUGGCAUUGCUGUUUGUGUCUGGCCCAGAAAAUGGGCAGUGCUACAGGCCAGCUGAAGCACUGAUACAACACCGCCCUUCUUGUCAGUGUGGAAGCACUGCUAUGAAUUCUACCCAAAACACAGCCUUUGGGAUUAAGAGGAAGACUACAGCUUAUUCAUGUCUGUGUUUGUGCUGGCAGACUGGUUAACAAUUUAAUUCAGCUCUCGCUCUUUAUUUAGUGCUUAAGAUAGAAACAAAUCGUGUUGCAGUACACUGCUGUUGUGCCCUCGUUCUGAAGUCUUACAAUUGUCUUGCAAAAAUACAAAUGCCAGGAGUAUCUACUCUUUGUGUAAAUUUGUGCAAUAAAAAUAAUUCGGAAAAUUCUAGUAUUAAAAUGUGUAUGUAAAAAUUUCAAUGUUGGUAACUUGCUUACAUCCUUGACUCAAUGCCGAGGUAGCUGGGGAGGUAGCCUGUAUUAACUGCACUGAACAGCUAGCUGUUGCUGUAUGUUUGACAGUUUUCUAAUACCCUGUUAGCUUUAUCUCAUGAGCACUUGGAGCAAUGUCUGCAGCAUGCUUUUCUUCUAGUGUUUAGGAAAAUGUUGGAAGUCCUUUUCUUCAGGCACCUUCUCAAGAUGGAAAGAAACGCUGCCUAGAUAAUAUUUCUGUGUAUAAAUUAGAUAACUCUGGCAGACUUGCCAAGUUAAUCUUUAACUUUUUCACCAAUGAAACAGAAUUGUCUUAGCAGGCAAAGCUUUAAUCCAUAGACCAAGAGGUGUGUAGCUAGUAAACAAAUAAAUCCAUAGUUAAAUAGACCAUUUUUCAGAAUGGGAAUCUCAUCAAACCACAGAUACGCAUACACACAGAAACUAGGGUUAGCAAGUUGCAAUUUUCCUAUCUUAGUUUGAUAAAGCACUCUGUUCUUGUUUACAUCUAUAUAAAUUUUAUCGGUAAUGUAAUUAAGAAGUCAUUUCAGAGCUGAAAUUUUUUCUUUGCAUGUGAGUCAUUGGAAGGCUAAUACGAGAACUUGAUAAGAUCAUGAGUAGGAGUAAGAGGAAGCCAAACUUGGUUUUCUUGUGCUGCAGCAAAGCUUGGCAGCCUGAGAAUUCUAGACUUUGCAUUCCUUUAUUAAUAUAUUUCUCAUAAUGGAUGAGACAUGCAGUAUGUUUCUUCAAGGGUAAGAGAAGUAUUGAUUGCCAGGACAGCUAUUUCACUUUGUUCUCUCUUGUAAUUCUUUCUUCCUGUGAAAGGGAUAAAGUUGAUUACAGUUUUCUGGUUGUGCAACAAAAAAAGAUGUUCAUCUAAUAAUUUUUUUUGUUGUUGACCAGGGAUUUUUUUAGGCAUCUGCUGUGGUAUUUGGCUUUAUUGUAGUAGCAUGAGGGACCAACUUUAUUAGACCAGCUCUAUUAGUCAGUGUUGCAGUGCAAGGUGCUGUAUGACAUUGAGAAUGAUUUCUCAUAGCUUGUAUUAACUUCUGGAAAGGAAGUCUGAGAAUGAACCAAUUUCUUCUUUCUUUCUCUCUCUCUCUCUUUUUUUUUUUUUUUUUUUACUUUUAAACAGGAAUGGAAAGUAAUGUGAUUUCAUUUUCCAGCAGGUUCUUUCUCUGUUACAAAACUUUACUACUUGCUUGUAAGGAUGAAAAACCUGUUUAAAACUUUACCCUGGAAAAUGAACAGUCAUAUCUCAAAGCUUCAUAUCUUUUAUAAGUAUUACAUAUGUAUUGUGACUUGUUUUCAUUUUACCCUUUCUUUUUCAUAUUGGGUGCACAAAAUUUUUUUAAUUAUUAUUAUUUUAAAUGUAGGGCAAAUUUCAUGUGAAGGUUAACGUUCUCUUGAGAAAAUACAUCUGUUCGUUGGGCUCAAUAGGUGUCUCUAAAAUGUGAGUGAAAUUACUACCAGAAUACUGAAGUAGCUUCCCUUUUAAAUAGGUAACUAUUUUAAGGAGCUAGGUUUUUGUGGCACUGUGUGUAUGCCAGAAAUAAGUUUGCUUUUCUUAUGUUUGUAGCCGGUUGUCGCAGGGUUGUUAGAGAAGAACUUCAAGAUUUUUUUAAUUGAUUUUUUCAGCUGUAGCUGAAGAUAUUGCCAAUGUGCAGUUUUAACACCUCAUUCUGUAUGCUGAACCAGUGUAGAAAGCAAGUUAAUUCAAGCUGCAAAAAGUCUCCUGCAAGUUGUUGUGAGCAGGAAAACCUGGUAUUUGUGCUGGAAAACAGUCCCUUUUGUUUUUAGUCUUUUCAUUCACUGAAAACCAAGUGCGAUUCUGAUAUUGAUCCUCCAGUAGCUGUUUCAAUUAUGUUGCCUAACACAUUGUGCAUUUCCUCCUUCCUACACUUUUCUUUCCUCUGACUACACAAACUUAGUCCUUUAGUGUUUGGAAAUAAACACAUUAUUUUCCUAAAAAUUUUACAAGAUUUCAGUAUAAUUUCUAGAAAGUUCAGAGCCCUGUAGCCUGCCCUGGUACCCUCAAAGAAGACUGAUUUCAUUAGGGAUGCAGUCCUCCUCCUUUUAAGGAGAUAAAAAUGUAAGAACUCAGCUGUGCGAAAAAGAAAAAAACAACUGUAUUCUAUUUUGUCUCUGAAGGAAUGAUUUCAUUACGAGAACAAGUAUUUAUUUUCUGUAAUCUGGAAUAUAUAUUAUUCAUACCACUAUACUCUCUACUUUUUUUUAGAUAUUAUUAAGAUUUGUUUUGGGCUUCAGAGCAGUUUUUUUUUUCUUGGUAGUUUAUUUCUACUGGUACAGAACUCUAAGUUCCUUUUCAUUUUGCUGAAGCAUGAUCUCUGCUGCUUUCCAAAAGUCGAAAUAAUUUCAAGAUGUGUUUAUUUUCCAUAAUUAAACCUGAGGGUAGAACUUCUUAUUUGUCCUUCGGUGUAUGAAUUCAGGAUUUGUUUAAACUGUAUUUUAUCUCUUCCUUCCCCCAACCUUAUCUUCCCUCUAGUGUGUUCUAUUAGAGGCCCUUCUGAGCAAUCUCGAUGACAUACAUCAGUUCUGCAAGUGCUGUGUUUUUUCCUCACAUAUUCCUUCAUUUUCACUGUCAUUAUAGACUUUUCUAGAACUAGACAGGUAAAAGGAGACGCAAAGGAAUAAUUUGGCUUAAAAAGUGAGAAACGCAAGUUUUUGUCAGAACACAGUGCUCUUUAUGUCAUAUGUGAGGGCUGAUAGGUUACGUUCUGCAGAUCAGCUUUUGUAAGGAUCAUUUAUCUCCCUCACCCUCUCAGCACUGCUCACCUUCUUUGUUUCUGACCGAGAUCUCCUGUAUGAGGGGGAUGGCUUUUCUUGGUGAAUGUUGCCCAGCAUUAUCCCCAGAUUUGUCAUCAGAUCUGUAAACUGUUUGGAGGUACCAUGUGUUUUUCUAUAGUACAGAGGAUGGCAAACAAGAAUAAGCAGGCAUGUGAAAUAAAAACUUCUUCGGGGACACUUUUUUUUUCUUUGUUGGCCACGCUUCUCUGUGGAGUGAUUUUAGAAUCACAGGAUGGCUUGGGUUGGAAGGGAGCCGAAGGAUCAUCACGUUUCAACCCCUCUGCUAGAAGCGGGAUGACCAGCCAUCUAGAUCAAGCAUUAGAUCAGGUUGCACAGAGCUCCUGUUCCUGCCCCUCACUGCACUCUCAGUAAAAAACAAAACAAACAAAAAAAAAACACCACACAACAAACUUCCCUCUGAUAUCUAAUCUAAAUCCCCCCUCCUUUAGUUUAAAGCCAUUCCCGCUUGUCCUAUCGCUAUUUAUCCCUGCAAAAAGUUGGCAUCCCUCUUGUUUAUAAGCUCUCUUUAAAUACUGGAAGUCCACAAGGAGGUGUCCCUGUAGCCUUCUCUUCUCUAGCCUGAGCAAACCAAGAUCCUUUAGCCUGUUUUCACAGGAGAGGUGCUCCAGCGCUCUGAGCAUCUUUGUGGCCCUCCUCCAGACCCUCUCCAGAAGCUCCUCAUCUUUCCUGUGCUGGCGGCCCCAGACCUGGACACAGUUCUCCAGAUGUACUCACAAGGGCAGAGUAAGGAGGAAUUUACUGGCUAUCCCUCUUCUGAUGGACUCAGAUUACAGUUGGCCUUCUGGACUGCAAGUACAUACUGCUCACUUAUGUUAAAGGACGCCAAGAAGUUCAAGGUGCUCUUCCUUAUUCAGAAGGCUCUCAGUGAAGUUGCCAGAGAACUAGUUCUGAAUGCUAAAAUCACUUAGACAAGACUUGAAUAAUUGCAGUACCCUAUGCUCAAAAAGUCAGCUUUGCUCCUUAUUUGCAGUGUUGUCAAGCCCAUAAAUAUGGUUUUACUCUUUGUUAAAACAUUUCUGGAGAACAGUGCAAAGGAAUAUAUGAAAAUCUAAACACAAAAUUGCAUUGUUUGUAUUCGGUAAUGCUAGCAGCACUUGUUCAUAGUUAAGGGAAUAAAAUGGUAUUUAUUGACAGAGUUAGUACCUUCUCUUAAAGUGAAGUGUGAACUGUAGUAUACAAAUUUUGGUGUACGUUCCUUUGCCUCAAGUUGAUUUCAUAAAUACACAAUCUUCCUGUGUCUAAAACUAAUCAAUAAAACUGAGUUAAUUGCUUUGCACACUAACCCACCAAUGAACCAAGGUUAUUCUCAAGGCUAUCACUUACUGUUUUGUGUUUAAUAAGGCAUUCUUAAAGUCAUAUAUGAAAUGUAUUUAAGCUAAUAGCCUGAUUUAAAAAAAAAAAAUCACUUUCUUAAAAUGGUGUUCAGUAACAGAAAACCUAUUGUAGGUUAUCAGUUUUAACAUUAAAUAUUUUAAUUGUUUCCACCUCCUCAAGUAGAGUUCAAAAAUCCUAAACUCCUCCCUCACGUAUGUCUGACAAUUCACAUCUGCCAUCUCCUGGAAUGGCUAGUUGCUGUUUUCAGCAGCUCCAUUCAAAAAAAAAAAUUCCCUUAGUAGUAAUGAAAGCAGCUGAUAAUGGAAUAAACCCAAUAAUAAUGUUGUACAACAGGUGUUCAACAGCAAUGUAGAAUUCUUGCCCUUUUGAAGGGAAGCUGUUGUCCAAGAUGUGUACCAGAUGCUUUAAUCAGGAGCACUUCUUGUAUGAGAAGACUUAGAGACUAAGUAUGUUUUAGAUAAACUCAGCAUUGUUUCUGUGUCAUUGUAAUUGAAGGUUAGCGUUGGGCGUGUAGCUGAUAAAGGACUUGAGUCCUUUGCCUUUAGUGCGGAUGGCAAAGGAGUCACCAGCAUGAGAAAUACUGAAAUUGGUGUCUGCUGAGUGCAUGGCUUCAGAACAGUUUGGAAAACAAAAGAGAACAGUACUUAACACUUUUUUUUUUUUUUCUUAUAACCAUGGCCACAGUAUGUAGGUUUUUCAGUUGCAGCUAUUGCCGAUAGUAAGCAACCCCUUUUAGUGAUGCAAGCAGUCGGAAAAGUUUAGAAAAAGAUGAAGGGGCAGGAUGAGAACAUAAUUUUGAUGUUAGGUGAGGUGGUAGAGCUGGCAGCUUUCAAAAGCACCAUGAGAAACCACCACUAUAAUGGGCUUGUAUUUGUACUGUAGCUUGGGUCAGGGGUGUGGGAUCCAUUUGAGCAUCCAGCAACUCCAGUUCUAAAGACUGGUUCAUCCUCUUAGAGAGAGUGUGUGUGUGUGCUUGCAUGUUUGAGUGAAAAGAAUGAAAAAUGUAGAAAAAGCUGGAGUCACCAAGUAAUAUUGCUUGGAUCUGACAAAAAAAAGUUCCAGAAUUUGGCUUUUGGAAAUUAGCAUUCGAUAGCUGGAGAAAUUAACGUGGUAUAUCAAGUCUCACGUCCACCCAUUCCCCUCCUUCCUCGAUUUUUUUAAUUUUGUGAAUGUAUCUUUUAAUGUUUGUGUUGAUAUAAGGGAUUUUAUCUCAGAAUUUUCUGUAGCUCUUCAUUUUUUUUCAACUUUAAUCUAAACAUGUGAAGACUAUCCAUCAGCAGAAUGGCACAUGCUUUAAGAGCAGGUGACCUAAUCUAUGUCUCUGUCCCUUAUCUUAGUUUUUCUGCAAGUGUAAAAUAAAUGAGUUUUCAAGGGGUCUAUCUUUUUAAUAACAAACCUUUUAAAGUCACUUUUAUCUGAAAGGUGUGUAUCCAGUAUUGAGAAUUAAAUGUCAAAGAAAUAUUUGCUUUGAAUUGUUACUUGGUGGUUCUGAAACUUUUGUUUAUUUUCUCUAGGGAUUUUUUCUGCAUCUGUGUGUAUUUGGGUAUUUAUUAGUCUACUCUUCUUCCCUCAAGAAAACUCUUUCAGUGGACUCUUUCUUUCCUUCCUUUUUCUUCUUUCUCUAUCUGCUUUUGAGUCUACUGUUCAAUUUAAAAUAAACUUCAAUAUUCUAUCUUGUCCAGUUUCAAAACUUGAUAAGGGUUGUAGAUAGUUGUAAAUAGGAUUAUGACUUUUCCAAAGGAACAGCUGUAUUGUGAACCAAAGUAUUUGUAACUCCUUGUGGGCUAAGAUUACAGAGCCUAAUUUCUCAUGGCCUUAGCUUUGUAAAAUGCUGACACUUGUGUAGCUUUUUCUAUUCUAGUCCAAUAGAAGAAAUAAAAGUGAAGUUGCAUUUUAGAUUAUAUCUCAACUAUUUAUCUAUCUAUGUGAAUCAGAAUUUAAGAAAUGUUGACAGAUUGGAUUUACUCAUUAGUUUAGAAGUUGCUUGUGAAUUGUUAGUCUGGGCAAAUGAGAAGCAAAAGCAAGGCUCUACUGUCCCUCUGAUGCACAGUUUCAUUUUGUGUGCUGUGGCUUUGUUGUGCUUUUUCAAGAUGCAAACAUAAUGUGGUUUUUUUUUUGUUUUUUUUUUUUUUUAAAGAGCAGUACAUGUUUUUAAAUCUGCCUAAAAAUUGAAGCCAGUCAACUCUACCUGUUUAAUUUAUCUGCACUAUUCAAAACAGUUCACCAGGAAGAUGGGGCUAUGUCUGAGAAUUUCUGACUCAUGCAAUUUUAUUCAGCCUGAGUUUGAUGAACAACUUGUUUCUUAUUCUAUCUUCUAAAUCUUUCAGGUGAAACAAACUGUUCUAGGACUUGGGAAAUAUCCAGAAAAGAUUGUCGAUUUCAAGAGUGUUAUCACUUAGCCUUGAAGUGAAAGAACUGGCGCAUCAAAGCUAUCACUUCAAAGGCCUCAUUGUGAUGAGGAGGAGUUACAGAUGAUUCAAAAGAAGAAUGACAAACAAAGUAGAUUAAAAAGUAAAUGAAGCAAAUGUCUCAAUAUCUACUUGUAUUAUCUAAUGUUACUACCUGUUCCCUUUAUUCCCCUCUUGUCUUAACUGUUGGAGCUGAACAGCUGUUCUGUGUUUGUAAAGAAUGAGACUGCUUAAAAAUCUACAUAAAAUGAGUUUCUGUAUAAAACAGAUUAAACUCUACAAUCAAUAAAAGUGGAAAAAUACUACCAUAUCAAUCUGACUGCACAAUCUAGUGUUUAAAAUCAUUUCAUGUUCGAUUUUUUUUUUCUGAUGAACUGUCUUUGAUGAAGUGCCACUGUGUUGACUCAAUUUAUAGUGGAGGGACUUCUCUAAAGACAAGCAGUCGCCUUUUUAGUCAGAAAGAAGGUUGCUGUCCAAUAGAGACGAUAAUAUAGUUGAACAGCAAUUGGGAGAGGCCAGAUGAGUAAGGUUUCUCGUUCAGUGAAGUUUCUGCUGUGCAAAACUGAAGGCUGCAUCUGCAGUUAAUGAAAGCAUAAAUAAAACCCACUUCAGACUAACACAAGAAAAGAAAACAUCACUCAAAUCAUUUUUUUUUUAUUAAGUAUUCUUUGGAAUAACCAAUACUAAAAUAAUCUCUACUCCUUUUCUAGCACAUCAGCUAUUUCAUUCUGCCAGUUGCCUUACUGCUUUAACUUACAGAAAAUAAGUGAAAAACAAUGAGGAAUAAGGAAUAUGCUAUUAGUGAAACAUGAAUUCCUUAUGAUGAUGAUCAGAGCUGUGCUGCUUUUAAAAAAUGAUUUGUAAUAUUAGAUACUUACUGCAUUACUUGAUUGUAUAUGUACUUGGUUGACUAAUAGCAUAUGAAUAAAUUAGUAAGUCGAUGUUAUUUCACACAUUCAUGGCAGAAUAGCUACAGCACUGCAGUGAUCUUUCUAGAAUAUAAAACCUUCUGUUCAGUAAAAGCAUCAAAUUGAUGACUGUUUUCUUACUGGGCUAAUUUAUUUGGAGCUGUUUUCUAGUGUAAAAACAUAGUUUUUCCUAGGUAUGAUGUAGUCCUUACUCUCUCAUCUUUUUUUUUUUAGCACUUUUCAAAACCCUUGUUACAGUGUUGUUUUUUUGUUUGGGUUUUUUUGGAAGCUAGUGACACUUAUUUUAUUGGCUAAGUGAUACUAUUG